CCCUUAGAUGUUCUGGGCCGCACGCGCGCUACACUGAUUCAUGCAACAAGUUUUGUCCUUGGCUGAUAGGCCUGGGUAAUCUUUGAACGUGAAUCGUGAUGGGGAUAGAUGAUUGCAAUUAUUCAUCUUCAACGAGGAAUUCCUAGUAAACGCAAGUCAUCAGCUUGCAUUGAUUACGUCCCUGCCCUUUGUACACACCGCCCGUCGCACCUACCGAUUGAAUGGUCCGGUGAAAUCUUCGGAUCUGAGAGAUGUCUGAUUAAUUUCGGACGCCUUUUGGAAAAGUUGCUUAAACCUUACCAUUUUGAGGAAGGUGAAGUCGUAACA
rnacentral:rRNA from 1 species